AUUCCUAUCCGUCUUACAUUUGUAAUAAUAAUAAACAAAUUCCAAAGACAAUUGGUUAAGCAUGUUGGAAGGUAGAAUAAAAAUUGCAACAACAAAAUCCUAACUCUAAUAGAAUAAUAACUAAAUUAUAAUUAGAUCAUAAUAAUGCUAAGCAAGCUUUAAUCAAAUUCAAAGAAACCUCAAAGGAAUUACAAAGAAAUAAUAAGAAAUAUUAAAGAAAUAUUAGAAUGAUCACAAAUAUAUCUCAAAUAUAUCUCAAUUCAAUCUUAAUUUAAUCCUAAUUAAAAUCCUAUUGGACUUCAUUCAAACUUUAGUCCAAAAAUUAACUGAAUCUUAAAUCCUAAACAAACCCUAAUAAAAUCCUAAAUCCUAAAUCAAAUCCUAACCAACCCUAAAUCAAACCUUAAUCAAAUCCUAAAUCUUAAAUCAAACCCUAACCAAAUCUUAAAUCCUAAACCAAAUCCUAAAAUCUAAACCAAAUACUAACCAAAUACUAAUCCUAAAUCAAACCUUAAUCAAACUCUAACCCUAAAUCAAACCUUAACCAAAUCCUAACCCUAAAUCAAAUCCUAAUCAAAUCCUAAAUCCUAAACCAAAUCCUAAUCAAAUCUUAAAUCCUAAAUCAAAUCCUAAAUUUUAAUCCAAAUCCUAAAUCAUAAUCCAAAUUCUAAAUCCUAAACCAAAUCCUAAUCAAAUCCUAAUUCUAAAUCAAAUUCUAAGCAAACCCUAAAUCCUAAACCAAAUCCUAACCAAACCUUAGUAAUUUCUAUAACAAAU
rnacentral:lncRNA from 1 species